AGACGUCUACAUUAGUACCCCGGUAGUCCCAGCCGUAAACUAUGCUCGCUAGGUGUCAGGCAUGGCGCGACCGUGUCUGGUGCCGCAGGGAAGCCGUGAAGCGAGCCACCUGGGAAGUACGGCCGCAAGGCUGAAACUUAAAGGAAUUGGCGGGGAGCACAACAACGGGUGGAGCCUGCGGUUUAAUUGGACUCAACGCCGGACAACUCACCGGGAACGACAGCAAUAUGUAGGCCAGGCUGAAGACCUUGCCUGAAUCGCUG
rnacentral:rRNA from 1 species